CAGUAGCCGCGGUAAUACGUAGGUCCCGAGCGUUGUCCGGAUUUAUUGGGCGUAAAGCGAGCGCAGGCGGUUAGAUAAGUCUGAAGUUAAAGGCUGUGGCUUAACCAUAGUACGCUUUGGAAACUGUUUAACUUGAGUGCAAGAGGGGAGAGUGGAAUUCCAUGUGUAGCGGUGAAAUGCGUAGAUAUAUGGAGGAACACCGGUGGCGAAAGCGGCUCUCUGGCUUGUAACUGACGCUGAGGCUCGAAAGCGUGGGGAGCAAACAGGAUUAGAUACCCCUGUAGUCCCUGUCUCUUAUACC
rnacentral:rRNA from 1 species